rnacentral:lncRNA from 1 species
GGCACAAGAUCACCAUGCUAUUACAAAGGAUUGUUUAGAGUUUAUCAGUUCAAUAUAAAAUUGGUUGCCUCGUUAAAAACCUUUAGGUAAAACCCCAUUUCAACUACAUGAGGAUAAAACCCUAAAGGAAAAAAGAGUACAACCGAACCCUUUUAGUGAUCUUCGAGCAUCGAGCUCUUUAAUCUGCAAAAUGCAAAUACGAGCAGCAUUUGUUACUUGAACAAGCUUCGAAUUGAAGAACAAGGGUGGAGGGAGGAGCUUACAUAUAAGGGUGUAUCAAACCUCAUCUAGGAAGAUAUUUUCCAUCAUUUCUUCGAGCUCCUUGUUCUGCAUGUUGUGUUGCUACCUCGCAUGAGCUUACUCCUAAUCCUUGAUCAGACUCAACCUCUCCACAUGAGCUGGAGUUAGGCUGCGACGCCGGUCAUCAAGCAACCUGCCACUCAAACUAAAAGCAGACUCGGAAGAAAUUGUAGAAACAGGUACAGUCAUG